GCUGGAAGAAGUCUGGAAGGGAUUCGGAGAACAGCUGAUAUUCGUAGAAAGUUGGCUGGCGGCGGAGCUUAGUGGGCACUUAGGGCGGCUUAAUAGAUAACUAGGGAAACUCAUGUUGAAGGAGCUCGGGUGGUGUAGUGGGAGUUCGUCCGUCGGGGGAAUCCAGUCAGCACUGUGGGAAUCCGGCUGUUGGAGAAGUCCGGAGAGAUACCAUCUGCGGCCGAAAGCCGGAGGAGUC
rnacentral:lncRNA from 1 species